GACGAACGCUGGCGGCGUGCCUAAUACAUGCAAGUUGAGCGCUGAAGGUUGGUACUUGUACCAACUGGAUGAGCAGCGAACGGGUGAGUAACGCGUGGGGAAUCUGCCUUUGAGCGGGGGACAACAUUUGGAAACGAAUGCUAAUACCGCAUAAAAACUUUAAACACAAGUUUUAAGUUUGAAAGAUGCAAUUGCAUCACUCAAAGAUGAUCCCGCGUUGUAUUAGCUAGUUGGUGAGGUAAAGGCUCACCAAGGCGAUGAUAAAUAGCCGACCUGAGAGGGUGAUCGGCCACAUUGGGACUGAGACACGGCCCAAACUCCUACGGGAGGCAGCAGUAGGGAAUCUUCGGCAAUGGACGAAAGUCUGACCGAGCAACGCCGCGUGAGUGAAGAAGGUUUUCGGAUCGUAAAACUCUGUUGGUAGAGAAGAACGUUGGUGAGAGUGGAAAGCUCAUCAAGUGACGGUAACUACCCAGAAAGGGACGGCUAACUACGUG
rnacentral:rRNA from 1 species